UACGUAGGGGGGCAAGCGUUGUCCGGAAUCAUUGGGCGUAAAGAGCGUGUAGGCGGCCCGAUAAGUCCGCCGUGAAAGUCCAGGGCUCAACCCUGGAAUGCCGGUGGAAACUGUCGGGCUGGAGUCCGGAAGAGGCGAGUGGAAUUCCUGGUGUAGCGGUGAAAUGCGCAGAUAUCAGGAGGAACACCAAUGGCGAAGGCAGCUCGCUGGGCUACUCCUGACACUGAGGUACGAAAGCGUGGGGAGCGAACAGG
rnacentral:rRNA from 1 species